AACGAACGCUGGCGGCAUGCCUAACACAUGCAAGUCGAACGAGACCUUCGGGUCUAGUGGCGCACGGGUGCGUAACGCGUGGGAACCUGCCCUUAGGUUCGGAAUAACUCCCCGAAAGGGGUGCUAAUACCGGAUAAUGUCUUCGGACCAAAGAUUUAUCGCCUUUGGAUGGGCCCGCGUUGGAUUAGCUAGUUGGUAGGGUAAAAGCCUACCAAGGUGACGGUCCAUAGCUGGUCUGAGAGGAUGAUCAGCCACACUGGGACUGAGACACGGCCCAGACUCCUACGGGAGGCAGCAGUGGGGAAUAUUGGACAAUGGGCGAAAGCCUGAUCCAGCAAUGCCGCGUGAGUGAUGAAGGCCUUAGGGUUGUAAAGCUCUUUUACCCGGGAUGAUAAUGACAGUACCGGGAGAAUAAGCUCCGGCUAACUCCGUG
rnacentral:rRNA from 1 species